CAUCGCCCAGCGCCAGCUCCGGCACCUCCCUGUGGAACAGUUAAUUAGCCUGGGAAAGUAAUAAGUGUUCAGUUAUGGGUGUUAACCAGCUGGGGGGAGGAAGGCGGCAGAAAAUAUUUGGUAGCAAUUUUUAAGACACAAGCUUUCAUAUAAAUAGCAGCGUCAGUUUCCCAUGAAGAAAGCAGGCAGCUGCGUGGUUGGGUAAAAUCAGCCCCAAGCGUAUUACGAAAGAAGUUCCGAUGUAGGUGAUUCCCCAUGUACUGAAAUGAAAUAGUGCAGACAAGGUUUGAAACGACACCAGUUGCUCUCUGUCAUUGGCCUCGCCUCGCUAGCGCACCCAAAUGCCUUAAUAUGGACGAGGUUUUAACAGUCGUCAUUACUUGGUGUUCUCCUAGCAGCAAAUCACCUUCAUACAUGACCUAUAUCUUAUCUAAAAUAAACUUGAG